rnacentral:rRNA from 1 species
UGAGUAACCUGCCCCUGACUCUGGGAUAAGCCUGGGAAACCGGGUCUAAUACCGGAUGUGACCUCCUCCGGCAUCGGAUGGUGGUGGAAAGUUUUUCGGUCAGGGAUGGGCUCGCGGCCUAUCAGCUUGUUGGUGGGGUAGUGGCCUACCAAGGCGACGACGGGUAGCCGGCCUGAGAGGGCGACCGGCCACACUGGGACUGAGACACGGCCCAGACUCCUACGGGAGGCAGCAGUGGGGAAUAUUGCGCAAUGGGCGGAAGCCUGACGCAGCGACGCCGCGUGGGGGAUGACGGCCUUCGGGUUGUAAACCUCUUUCAGCAGGGACGAAGUUGACGUGUACCUGCAGAAGAAGCGCCGGCUAACUACGUGCCAGCAGCCGCGGUAAUACGUAGGGCGCAAGCGUUGUCCGGAAUUAUUGGGCGUAAAGAGCUCGUAGGUGGCUGGUCGCCGUCUGCCGUGAAAGCCCGCAGCUUAACUGCGGGUCUGCGGUGAAUACGGNCCGGNUAGAGGUAGGUAGGGGNCAGUGGAAUUNCU